GUGCCAGCCGCCGCGGUAAUACGGAGGGUGCAAGCGUUAAUCGGAAUUACUGGGCGUAAAGCGUGUGUAGGUGGUUCGUUAAGUCGGAUGUGAAAGCCCCGGGCUCAACCUGGGAACUGCAUUCGAUACUGACGGACUAGAGUUUAGCAGAGGAAAGCGGAAUUCCGGGUGUAGCGGUGAAAUGCGUAGAUAUCCGGAGGAACACCAGUGGCGAAGGCGGCUUUCUGGGUUAAAACUGACACUGAGGCACGAAAGCGUGGGUAGCAAACAGGAUUAGAUACCCUGGUAGUCCACGCCCUAAACGAUGUCGACUGGCUGUCGGGUUCAUUUGGAACUUGGUAGCGAAGCUAACGCGUUAAGUCGACCGCCUGGGGAGUACGGUCGCAAGAUUAAAACUUAAAUGAAUUGACGGGG
rnacentral:rRNA from 1 species